GGUCGCGUAGUGUAACGGACAUUAGUUGCUUUCGCGCUUCUUAAGGAAGAAAUCAUCUUCCCGGUUCAAAUCCGGGCGUGACCA